rnacentral:rRNA from 1 species
CUACGGGGUGCUGCAGUGAGGAAUAUUGCACAAUGGGAGGAACCCUGAUGCAGCAACGCCGCGUGGAGGAUGACGCAUUUCGGUGUGUAAACUCCUUUUAUAUGUCAAGAAAAUGACGGUAGCAUAUGAAUAAGCACCGGCUAACUCCGUGCCAGCAGCCGCGGUAAUACGGAGGGUGCAAGCGUUACUCGGAAUCACUGGGCGUAAAGGACGCGUAGGCGGGUUGGAAAGUCAGGUGUGAAAUCCUACAGCUUUACUGUAGAACUGCACUUGAAACUUCUAAUCUAGAGUAUGGGAGGGGGAGAUGGAAUUAGUGGUGUAGGGGUAAAAUCCGUAGAUAUCACUAGGAAUACCUAAAGCGAAGGCGAUCUCCUGGAACAUUACUGACGCUAAGGCGUGAAAGCGUGGGGAGCAAACAGGAUUAGAUACCCGAGUAGUC